rnacentral:lncRNA from 7 species
AGAUGAGUUCUUUGUACUACCAGUGCUAUUUGUGGACUUACGAGGACGAGGGGAUGAGGUGACGAUGCAUCGGUUUAUUUUAUUUUAUUAUACAAACCAAACAAAACAAGCUGAAGAGGUGGCACCUGCACGAAGCGUUUCCGUACUGCAAAACAGAUGGGAAAGAAGGCGCGGCGGGCCGAGCCGGGCAUCGGCACGUAGCAGUCCGUGGGUCGCCUGCGUGGUACCUUCAGCCCGCUUCUGGGCCUUCCGUCACAAACCUAGCCCACACCCUCCACCGAUGCUUCCCGUCGUCUGCUAGCAAUGGUGGAAGGUCUGUUGGCUUUCAGCGUUUUACAUAGACGCGCCAUCCAACAAAGGUUUUAAGGCAUCCACGAAAGUCGUCCGACAAGGAAUUUCUCUCACGAGUGUUAAUAGGGAUGGCAGUGACUAAGGUAGCUAAAAGACGUACAAAGUUAUACUCAUACUCACUAUAGAAAAAAUGUGCCAUGCUCAUACCCACCACUACUCAUUAUGGAUACAAAAUUACGCCAUAUAUAUACCCACCACGGGUAGUGGGUAUCCAUCAGUUAUUCAUACUCACUGACAUUACAGUAGACAUGAUCAUUUGAAUCGUAAACAAAAUUUGAAACAUCAUAUCUCAUCAAUAUUGAAAGAUGCUAAAAUAACAUAUUAUCUUUGUGCCAUUGUGACAAAUUCAUCAAGCCCAACAUGAUUUUAUCACAAGUUCAACAUCAUUCAAUAUUAAAUGGUGACAUCAUGCCAUCAAAGCACAUAAAAUAUAGUAUUGAUAGUACAAAA